UACGGGGGGAGCAAGCGUUGUUCGGAUUUACUGGCGUAAAGGGCGCGUAGGCGGCCACCGCAAGUCAAUUGUGAAAUCUCCGGGCUUAACUCGGAAAGGUCAACUGAUACUGCGGGGCUAGAGUGCGGAAGGGCAACUGGAAUUCUCGGUGUAGCGGUGAAAUGCGUAGAUAUCGAGAGGAACACCUGCGGCGAAGGCGGGUCGCGUGGGCC
rnacentral:rRNA from 1 species